GUGUCAAGGACCAUAAUUGUUCAACUCAUCCCAAAUGGUCUCGUACCUACAAUGUUUUUUCUCCAUGAUCCUACAACUCACAAGGAUACACUGGGUCCCUCGGGGCCCGAUUUAUUCCCGUGCUGCUUGGCUCCAGAAGCCUGUCCAAGCGAUUCGAGUAUAAAGUACAAUUAGGAGCACCUUGGGUGGCGAGGGUCACUCAAGACUCAAACGAGUUUGAACUGUGCAAGACAUCAUCUUUCAGCUGGCUUGCCCUCCAUCCGUGGACAAGUUGCGAAUACUCGAGCCACAUUAAGAACUUGAAAUGGAUGAGUAGCCACAGAGGGUGCUCUUCCUGCAGACGGAAAUAAAAACAUCACAUUGGUUGUGCACACUUACUACCUUUCGCCGUCGUCGUCUACAUCGUUGUUGUUGUUGUUGUUGUUGAGCGCCUCAGGAUCAAGAUCAGGUUGGUCAUUGAGAGGGUGAUACGGUUUUAAUGGUAUCCAGGUCAGUUUCAGUUUAAGAGGGAAGAGACGCUGAAGCGCCCGCGUACUUUUCUUGUGAGGAUUAUGAAUCUCGUUUGGAAGAAGAUGUCCUUGCUGGAGGCCAUCUCCCAGUUUGAAAAGAGUCCGAGCUUGUCGGAUGGUCGGGCAUAUUCUUGGACUUCAGGGCAAUUGCUUUGAGACAGAUCAAGCCAAGAGCAAGUAGGAAUUUCCAAAGAGGAUUGAAUUAGAGCCGAGGAUAAUUAGAAAUGGAUCCUUCCUCGCUUAUCAUGGUGAUUUGGAAAGCUCCGUGGCUUUCCAAUCGCGCCUUGGACUCUCGUCUGUCUCUCCCAUCCGAAAAGAGGCAUUACUUCCCGAUCGACCAACUCCAACCAUGAGGAUCGUUAUCACUGUUUUGACUAACAUGGGCUUCAACGAUGCCAAUCAAAGCAGUCACUCUAUCGCCUGAUCCACCAUUGGUACUGUCACCAGGAACGAAACUAAGAAGAAUAUUGAUGAAAGCCAAACCGAAGAAUAAGGCAGCAUGUGCUCUGGGCAAACCACCUCUCCCGCCCACCUUUCCCUCCCUCAUCCUAAGGCUCAGAGACAUAAGACAAAGCUGCUGGAUGGGCGUACUCACGAAGGCCGUUGUAUCCGAAGCGGACUUGUUCUAUUGUUUGUCCAUUAGUAAAACCACCACUGUGCUUACAGUAAUGAUGAUGUCCUUACCCAGAUCGUCUCAUUUUUCACUGCCUUUUCCUCAAUGAUGGCUCAGAAAUAACCUCCCCUCCGGCCUUCUUGUCUGCUUGUCUGCCUGUCAGCCCUCCUGCCUUUCUGGGCUUCCUUUUUAAUGAUGGACGACUACUAUGCGUAGUAUACAGCAUAUACUGACUUCGUCCGAUCAUCACGACGAGGCCACAGCAGAAGACGAUACGCCUUCUCGCUAUUAUUCGUGGGAACAAACUAAACGGAUCCCCAGCCUGUAAUGUCCUACUUUCAGAUCAAAAUGGCACAUGCGGUCAAAAAUAAAUUAGCACAUCCCACGUGGGAAAUGGAGGUGAGUAGAAUGGUAAUUGCCUUUUCUCUCCCG